AAAUUCCAAACCCCACCCACCCCUAGCCUAACUCGAGGGAAGACAAAUCGAGGUAGAGAAAGAGGAGGUAUUUCGGUGGCUCAGUUCCAUGAGGUGUACUCGGCGAGUUCGCUCCAGGAGGUGCUGCACCAGGCCAAUACUCGACGGCUCCAGUUCAAAGAAAGAGUAGACACUCGUCGUAGCGCCGUCGUAAUCGUUUGAGGUUGCCUCCAUUUAAGCUCAGACAUACAUUACUCAAAGCAGCCAGAAGAGCCAUUAAGAGAUUGCCAAUGGUUACACUCAUAAUGAGGCUCCCAACAGCUGUGCUAAGGCUAUAAUUAAGCCCCCAAGCACCAGGAGAAAUGUAUGCACAUUCAAACACAUAAUUACAUUCUGAUUCUCUAAAAGAUAUUGAGAACUCUAUUGACUUAGUCAUUGGAGAAAGAUUGGCUAACGUCACUCCAGUGCCUUUCUCUCUCAUCUUUUUAGGGAACAUUACCUCAUCCAGGGCCUAGAUCAGGUCCUUGACUGAUGACCAUUUUUAGCAUCGUCAAGGAUGUAUUCUUAAAUUGAUAUGAGUCAUAAGACAAUGAAGUAACUUGUUUAGCCAAACCUAUACUUUAAGGCAAUGCGUCGAAGAGUAAUGUUGUAUUGGUAGUUGAAUUUGGGACUAUCUGCUAAGUUACUAGUGCAAUGUUCUGUUUUGUUUUUUUAAUAAUGAUAUACUAGAGAUCCUCUUUAAAAAAUAAAGUAUAGUUAAUGGUACCGAAGUUUUUUGUAUAAAUUUCUGUUUUGCAUGUAUGGACCAUAUGGUAUGUAAGCAAGUAAAAAUAAAAUUAUUUCAAGAAAUCUUUCGCACUUAGACAAAUCUGAAUUAAUAGAUUGUCUAUUCUUCCUUUUCUUCGUUUCCCUUAUGUAUCUUGCGGUAGAAUAUUAUAGUUGCUGAUUCAGGUAAGCAUAUUUCUUUAAACUGUUUUAUUUGAAUACAUUGGAUUGGAGUUGAACUUGGGGAAUGCCUCAGCUAGGGUAAUUUCUCUAGUUGGAUUGUUUAUUAUUUUUUAAAAAUGUUUUUAAGGAUAUUAAGUGUCUCCUCCCUGUCAAUUCAUUCUAGACUGGAGACCAUCUAUUGUGUAAAUAAACAGUGUGACAGAUAACAUCUUGGUAAAAUGUCUAGCUGUCAAUCAUAUGAAUGGAUUAGUAAGAAAGAUUCUGAAGGUAUUGCAGGAAAAUCAACAUUUGGAAGAAAUGAACAAAUGAAAUGAAGAUAACAUCAAUGCUAACAUGUAGAAGACAAUCAAAAGGCUGGGAGAAGAAAAUAGUGCAGGAAAAAGAUAUAUCGCAGAGAAGAAACAAAGGAAGAAAGGGAAUAUAUGGUGCUAUGUAUGCGCUAUGUGCAUAUUUUUUAUUUCCAUCUUCAUACUUAGCGCAGAUAUGCAAUCUAGGACUAACAAAAGAAUGCAUUUUCCCUAAUUUUAUAAUGUGUAAUGACAUUUUUUUUUUUUUUUUUGAGAAGAAAUGUGUUAGGAUAUGUCAUGGUGUAAUGUGAAUUUUACCUUGUAAUGCAGGGCUAGUUCUUUUGAAUGAAAGUGUGUAUAGUAUGGAGCA